rnacentral:tRNA from 1 species
GCGUCUUUAGCUUAAUGGCAAAGCCUCCGCCUUCGAAGCGGUCUCAUAUGGGUUCGAGUCCUAUAGGGCGCU